AUGGAGGGACCGGGACUACUGAGAGUUGUUUACUUUCACCAGCUCUACAUAAAUCGAUGGCUCCAUCAGACAAAACCGUGCCACUGUGCUGAUGCAAAGACCUGGAAGGAGGAGAAGGACCCACUGAAGACGCCACCUCUAGAGACGGAUCACUUCCUGUACAUACAGUGUACAAUACAGCUGCGGUCAGCUCCGAGGAGAGAACUGUUCAGCAUGCUCUCAGCACUCCCUGGAUGUCAUUAUGUGAAACUGCUAAUGCUUGAUAUAACGCUGAUGUUCUGCAGAAUAUGUGCGAGACCCAACAACAGAGGAUCCUUAGGGGUCAGUGUGGACUCAAGGAUAGAACCGAACAGCACAUCCUUCCGUGGGACCGACAUGGUCUUCGAGCACCUUCCUCUCCUGCUGGUACCAGCUCCAGACCAUAAAUCAUUUGGAGCUGCAUUCAUUCAAACCCACGUCUCCACAGACUCAGCAGGAGCCAGUGGCUGACGUAUGUAGGAGCCACAGGCGGGGCUCGUAAUUGUGAGAGCCUGGGACUACAGGCUCCAUAAAGCAUCUCCUGUGUAUUAUGAGACUGACCUUCUAACGUUCUGUCGCUUUGGCUGUUUGUGAUGGGCAGAGUCGGCCGCAGGUGCUUUAAUUCCGUUCCAGCAGAUAUUGUAUGUGACUGUUAACGAGAGGCAUUAGAUAAAUGAGCCCAGGCAAAUCUCGAACCUCGUGGUUUUCUGCCUCACCUUGGACACGCCCCCCCGAGGUCAUGUCAGGCUCCCUCUCUUGCUCCCUCACCAGGCCACGUCCUCAUCUCUGGACCCCACACGCCCCUUCUCUUUGCCUUAGUGAACUCACUGCAAUCAGGACAAGUCCACUUACCUGUGCCUGCUCUCUGCUCUCCCUUCAAAUACUCAGCCAGCGCUUCAGUCUGUGCUGGGUCAUUGAUGCUGCUGUAUGUGGUAAGAAGAGGUUUUGUUGGAAUGGUCCAUAUGAGUGGGAGUCUUUGUCAUGCCAUGUGUUUGCCUCGAUUAGCCAUAAAUAUAACAAUUGAACUUUAUUGAUCCUGCAUUGGGGAAAUUAAGCUGUUGUUGCUUGGGCAUUGUGGGUGGUGCGGUGGGUAGCAUCGUCGCCUCACAGCAAGAAGGUUCUGGGUUCGAUUCCCGGAAGCAGCCCUAAUGCCUUCUCUCCAUUACCCGUAGGUCUGAGUGUGUGUGUGAAUGGUUGUUUGUCUCUGUGUGUGGUGUACCCUGCCUCUCGCCCAUAGCCAGCUGGGUUAGGCUCCGGCACCCCCGUGACCCCGCAUUAGGGAAUAAGCAGCUUAGAAAAUGGAUGCAUUUUCACUUGAUCAGUUAUACUAUUCUGCUUUCACUUAUUAAAGAACAAUUCUGAUAAUGACACAUCACCUGGUUUCUAAUAACAAUUAUAUAAUAACAAAAAUCACAUACAUCACCACCAAAAUUAAACAAAUCAAAAUAAAUGAAAAACAACCUCUUGGCUCUAUCA
rnacentral:lncRNA from 1 species